rnacentral:rRNA from 1 species
UACGUAGGUGGCAAGCGUUGUCCGGAUUUACUGGGCGUAAAGAGCGCGCAGGCGGCUGAUUAAGUCGAAUGUGAAAGCCCCCGGCUCAACUGGGGAGGGUCAUUCGAUACUGAUCAACUUGAAGGCAGGAGAGAGAAGUGGAAUUCCCGGUGUAGUGGUGAAAUGCGUAGAUAUCGGGAGGAACACCAGUGGCGAAGGCGGCUUUCUGGCCUGUUCUUGACGCUGAGGCGCGAAAGCUAGGGGAGCGAACGGG